AUCUAGCCGACCAGUCCUGAAUAAGACGAAGCACGUUUCCUGGAU
rnacentral:hammerhead_ribozyme from 1 species